GGGGACGUAGCUCAGCUGGGAGAGCACCUGCCUUGCACGCAGGGGGUCAGGGGUUCGAUCCCCCUCGUCUCCACCA
rnacentral:tRNA from 2 species